AGCCUGACCUCCACUUCUAACACUGUGCACUUGAUGGCGAGGUAAUGGAACUUUCGAGUGAAACUACCUUGCGGCUUCAUUUUAAACAUUAGUCAAAGUAUGUCAUGAAAUAAAAAACAAAAAAAAAACUUUCAACAACGGAUCUCUUGGCUCUCGCAUCGAUGAAGAACGCAGCGAAAUGUGAUAAGUAAUGUGAAUUGCAGAAUUCAGUGAAUCAUCGAAUCUUUGAACGCACCUUGCGCUCCCUGGUAUUCCGGGGAGCAUGCCUGUUUGAGUGUCAUGAACUCUUCAACCCACCAGUUUCUAGUAGACUGCGUUGGUGUUUGGAUUUUGAGCGUUGCUAGUCUGACUAGCUCGUUCGUAAUAUAUUAGCAUCUCUAAUUCGAAUUCGGAUUGACUCAGUGUAAUAGACUAUUCGCUGAGGACACUUUUAUUAGUGGCCGUACUAGAACCAGUAGAAGCUUCCAACUAUUGUAGUCAACUUUAAUUUAGACCUCAGAUCAGGCAGGAUUACCCGCUGAACUUAAGCAUAUCAAUAAGCGGAGGA
rnacentral:rRNA from 1 species